rnacentral:rRNA from 1 species
AUAGCGUAUAUUAAAGUUGUUGCAGUUAAAAAGCUCGUAGUUGAACCUUGGGCCUGGCUGGCCGGUCCGCCUCACCGCGUGUACUGGUCCGGCCGGGCCUUUCCUUCUGGGGAACCUCAUGCCCUUCACUGGGCGUGUUGGGGAACCAGGACUUUUACUUUGAAAAAAUUAGAGUGUUCAAAGCAGGCCUUUGCUCGAAUACAUUAGCAUGGAAUAAUAGAAUAGGACGUGUGGUUCUAUUUUGUUGGUUUCUAGGACCGCCGUAAUGAUUAAUAGGGAUAGUCGGGGGCAUCAGUAUUCAAUCGUCAGAGGUGAAAUUCUUGGAUUGAUUGAAGACUAACUACUG